UCAUUGCCAAAUCCUCCAUCAAAGAUCCAGAGAAUGGAGAAGCCAAUCAUAAACCACACCUGACUGCAAAUUGCAGCAUUCCUUCAGCCCAGGCCAGAUCUCAGAUGAGUUAAAUGCUGCUCCAAGACAGGGAAAUAAACAUGUGCACCAGCUUGUCAGUGAGGUCAUUUCUUCUGCCAGCAAAGUAACGGAUGCCUUGAGAAUGUAAAAUGGACAUAUUGUGGAUGUUACAAACUUUCCUUCUCCCUUGCAUUCGUUUCUUGGCCUUCAAGAAAAUAAAGUUAUCAGAUGAGCCUGUAGAAGCAAAAGAAGAUUACACUAAGUUUAAUACUAAAGAUUUGAAGACUGAAAAGAAAAAUAGCAAAAUGACUGCAGCUCAGAAGGCUUUGGCUAAAGUUGACAAGAGUGGAAUGAAAAGUAUUGAUACCUUUUUUGGUGUAAAAAAUAAAAAAAAAAUUGGAAAGGUUUGAAACUUUGAAAAUAAAAUCUAGCAAAAAU
rnacentral:sRNA from 1 species